rnacentral:rRNA from 1 species
GAUGAACGCUGGCGGCGUGCCUAAUACAUGCAAGUCGAGCGAACGGACGAGAAGCUUGCUUCUCUGAUGUUAGCGGCGGACGGGUGAGUAACACGUGGAUAACCUACCUAUAAGACUGGGAUAACUUCGGGAAACCGGAGCUAAUACCGGAUAAUAUUUUGAACCGCAUGGUUCAAAAGUGAAAGACGGUCUUGCUGUCACUUAUAGAUGGAUCCGCGCUGCAUUAGCUAGUUGGUAAGGUAACGGCUUACCAAGGCAACGAUGCAUAGCCGACCUGAGAGGGUGAUCGGCCACACUGGAACUGAGACACGGUCCAGACCCCCACGGGAGGCAGCAGUAGGGAAUCUUCCGCAAUGGGCGAAAGCCUGACGGAGCAACGCCGCGUGAGUGAUGAAGGUCUUCGGAUCGUAAAACUCUGUUAUUAGGGAAGAACAUAUGUGUAAGUAACUGUGCACAUCUUGACGGUACCUAAUCAGAAAGCCACGGCUAACUACGUG